UCCUUUUCCCGUCCCGUCCCGAACAGCGCCGACGACUCCCACUGCAGUCUCUCAUCUUCUCGACUAUAAAAACUCGCAUUUUCUUAAUCAUUUCCUUGACGAAUCAUUCGGCUCCGAGGAGAGCGUCGAGCGAUAGAGAAGCCUCAGCGGCAUGGCGACCCACCUCGGAGACGAGGGCGACACUCUCGAAACCCUAGAGCACCUUCUCCAAGUUUCGCAGACCGCCGCUGGCCGCGCCCGCCUCAACGCCGAAGGAACCCUCACCGCAGUUCUCCGCCGCCUUUCCUCAUCCCCCUCGCCGUUCCUCCUCCCCCGCCUUUACCUCGUCCGCAACCUCUGCUACUGCGACCAUGCCAACCAGGAAGCCUUCCUCGCUGCUGGCGGCCUCGAUCGGGUCGCUUCCGCCCUCAUCGGUGAACCGUCGGUCAGCAUGGAAAUCGUCCGGACAGUGCUUCAGGUCCUGGCAAGCGUCGCUGCAGGUGGCGAGGCGCACAUGGACGCCGUGUGGGCUCGGUUCUUCCCCGUCUGGUUCCGCGAGAUUUCUAGGUCGAGCGACCCUGCCAUCUGCGAUGCCCUAUGCGGGGUCUUGAACACGUGCUGUACUGCAGGGGAAUAUCGCCGGAGGCUGAGCGAACUUUGCGAGCUGGAGAGGGGAUUACCUAUUCUCUUGAACAUCGUCAUCACCAUGUCCGGAGUUUGUGUUCUUCAAAAAGAAGCGUAUUUCUACUGGCUCCUAGGUAAAGUUUGCAUCGAGGAAACAUAUUUUACCCUUGUAUUCCAGGGCUUAAGCUCGGUUAAUAUCAUUGGCAUUGCAAGUUGUGGUGUUGACUUCACCAAAGAGCAAAUCUUCCUUCUUGAAACACUACUAGAUGGCAUGCUCUCUUUUCCCAUUUCCAAGAAUUUUGCACUUGGUGUUCUUCAAAUAUUGAUAGAAGCUUAUACUAUUACCACUGCUAGUUCCUUAACAAAAUCUGUUGCUGAGACUGGUCAUGCAAACACUGCCCUACAGUACUUGCUCCUGAUGCUGAGGGACAUAUGUUCUUGUAAACAACGUUCAACAUCCACCGAGGACCCUGCUGACUUAUUUCAAUGUGAAGAUCUAAUAGAGCUUCUUUUAAGAUUUCUUCGGGAACUCGAACCCCCAAUCACUUCUGAUAAUCAAGAAAUACAGCCUUUGUCAAGCUCAAAAUUGGCCCCAUACCAAGGUUUCCAGAAAGAUGUAGUAUCUAUCAUUUGCAAUUAUUUACAUGGAAGAAAGCAUGUUCAAGAUGAGAUUAGAAAGCAGGAUGGAAUCCCUCUGCUACUGCAACAGUGCAUUGUGGAUGAAAGUUAUCCUUACAUGAGGAAAAUUGCCACAUUAACCAUACGAAACUUGCUGGAAGGUAAUGUAGCCAACCAGUAUGAAGUUGCCCAACUUGAGUUGAAAGAGCCUCUCAUCACACCUCAAAUUGCUCAAAUGGGACUGAGGGUGGAAAUAGACGAGGACACUCAGCGUCCAAAGUUGGUAAAUAUUUUGGAUGGAUGGAUGCAAGAGGGAGGAACAAGGUGGAUAAAAGAAUGAAACACAAUGAUAAAGCACUAGUGAAAUGGAUCACAAACUUGUCCAUUCACAUCGACUUAUACCAUUUAAGCAAUUAAACCUUCAAGGAGCCUUCCAAUGGAUAAACUAAGACAAUGUAAAUACAUCACUAUAAGACAACAAUUUUUCAUAGCUAAUCUUGAGUCUCAAAGUUCAAUUAGCUUUUCGCCCAACUCCAUGAUUGUGCAUGGAUGCGUCGAAGGCCAUGGACCAGCCAUUGAGGUUUACGUGUGCAGAUAUCUAGGCACUAUCAUUUGGGUAUCUGAAGUCCAAGAAGGCAACUAUGGUUGAUAUUCGCGCUGAUCAGAAAUUACCUUUGUACCCGAGAAGCUAUACGACAUUCUCCUAUUUGGAUAAACAAUGGAUUGCCCUUGCGUCAAUGAGACCUAUAGUUUUUUGUAUCUCAUUUAUUCCCUCUUUUGUAAGGGCCUCAUUGUUCAUGCAUAUGCUGGAGAAAGAAAAGUUGAACUUUAUUAUGGUACAUAAUCCCGUUUACAGGAGUUGUAUUUUUUCUCUUAAUUGUUUUUGUUGUUUUCUUAAGCCGUAAGAAACUAUCUGGAAAGUUGUUUGUAAAUAACCGACAAUUUGCAAGACUUGUAUCUCAAGUAUUAUCUCUUCCCCCUCAA